rnacentral:rRNA from 1 species
GAUGAACGCUGGCGGCGUGCCUAAUACAUGCAAGUCGAGCGAACAGACGAGGAGCUUGCUCCUCUGACGUUAGCGGCGGACGGGUGAGUAACACGUGGAUAACCUACCUAUAAGACUGGGAUAACUUCGGGAAACCGGAGCUAAUACCGGAUAACAUGUUGAACCGCAUGGUUCAACAGUGAAAGACGGUCUUGCUGUCACUUAUAGAUGGAUCCGCGCCGCAUUAGCUAGUUGGUAAGGUAACGGCUUACCAAGGCAACGAUGCGUAGCCGACCUGAGAGGGUGAUCGGCCACACUGGAACUGAGACACGGUCCAGACUCCUACGGGAGGCAGCAGUAGGGAAUCUUCCGCAAUGGGCGAAAGCCUGACGGAGCAACGCCGCGUGAGUGAAGAAGGUCUUCGGAUCUUAAAACUCUGUUAUUAGGGAAGAACAAAUGUGUAAGUAACUAUGCACGUCUUGACGGUACCUAAUCAGAAAGCCACGGCUAACUACGUG